rnacentral:miRNA from 1 species
UGUUAUUUCAUCGAUUUUGUUG